rnacentral:rRNA from 1 species
AACGCUGGCGGCGUGCCUAACACAUGCAAGUCGAACGCGAAAGUCCCCUUCGGGGGAUGAGUAGAGUGGCGUCCGGGUGAGUAACGCGUGGGUGAUCUACCUUCUGGUGGGGAAUAACUCGCCGAAAGGCGUGCUAAUACCGCAUAACGUCCUGGGUCGUACCAGGAGCAAAGCAGGGGACCGCAAGGCCUUGCGCCGGAAGAGGAGCCCGCGUCCGAUUAGCUAGUUGGUGAGGUAAUGGCCCACCAAGGCUACGAUCGGUAGCUGGUCUGAGAGGACGGCCAGCCACACUGGCACUGAAAUACGGGCCAGACUCCUACGGGAGGCAGCAGUGGGGAAUUUUGGGCAAUGGGCGCAAGCCUGACCCAGCAACGCCGCGUGAGCGAUGAAGUCCCUCGGGAUGUAAAGCUCGCAAGUCAGGGACGAAUAGGUCCGCCCGAACACGGCGGAUGAUGACGGUACCUGACGUAAGCCCCGGCUAACUACGUGCCAGCAGCCGCGGUAAUACGUAGGGGGCAAGCGUUGUUCGGAAUUACUGGGCGUAAAGCGCGCGUAGGCGGUUCGGCAAGUCGGGUGUGAAAGCCCCGGGCUCAACUCGGGAACUGCAUUCGAUACUGCCAGACUUGAGUGCGGAAGAGGCUACUGGAAUUCCCAGUGUAGCGGUGAAAUGCGUAGAUAUUGGGAGGAACACCAGAUGCGAAGGCGGGUAGCUGGGCCGACACUGACGCUGAGGCGCGAAAGCCAGGGGAGCAAACG